GCCCAGUGCAGUGGCACGUGCCUGUAGUCCCAGCUACUCCAGGCUGAGGCUGGAGGAUCGCUUGAGCCCAGGAGUUCUGGACUGUAGUGCGCCAUGCCAAUCAGGUGUCUGCACUAAGUUCAGCAUCAAUAUGGUGACCUCCCGGGAGCCAGGGACCACCAGGUUGCCUAAGGAGGGGUGAACCGGCCCAGGUCAGAAACUGAGCAGGUCAAAACUCCUGUGCUGAUCAGUAGUGGGAUUCCACCUGUGAAUAGCCACGGCACUCCAGCCUGGGCAAUAUAGUGAGACCCCAUCUCUA
rnacentral:SRP_RNA from 1 species